CGGGCUGGUCUUCGGACCCGGGUCCACCUGCGGCGGGGAUGUUCCCC
rnacentral:sRNA from 26 species